AGCAUCAUCAUGGGUGAUAUUGUCCAACCUUAUUUCAUUUACCUAAAGUCAAGGAUAAAGAAUAACAUUAUUGGAGCAUUGUUCAAUGGACCUUGUGGGCGCCAAAACUUCCCAUAACAGAUGAAAAACUGUGAACCAGGACAGGAAGAGGCACGAACGACCCUCAAAGGUAGCGAUUCCACUUUCGAUUGAAUUAUCAAAAAAAAAUUAACAAGUUUUUUGCAGUUCUCUUAUCUCUACAUAUAAGGACAUAAAUGUUGAUUCAAGUAGUUCUUAAGAGUACUUAAGACUAAGAGGACAUAAACUUGAAUCACAGACGUUUCUAGAGCAGUUCAAAACGAGUGGUCCAUAAGACUAUGUCCAAAGCGAUAAAAUAUAACAAUAAACACGGGAUUUAUGAAAAUUAACCGCUAAUUAUAAUCACGUAUACAAUACUGAAGUUUUAAACACGAACUUGAAAGAAAAUCUUCAGUUUUGUUUUCAAGUUUUACAACGGUUCAUAAACGAAAGCUUAUUCAAAUUGUAUGAAUUAUUUACACGAACAAAAAACUAGAUAAUUCCGUUACACUGAAGCCGAAAGAUCGGGUCAAGGUUGAGCCCUCGCUGUAGACAUACGGUACUAACCUCAGACGAUUUACUACGACCAUACAAUAGUUCGAUCUUUGGCCCAGGUCACGUAUCUUAUAAAGUACAUCAGAAGAGAAGUGAUAUAUGAAUAAAUCUUGAUGUUUGGUUGGUACAAGCUUGGUAAAGAUUUUACUGCACGACUACUUAACGUGUUAUUGCGGCUUCAAGAACUUUCGUACACUUGAGUUGUUAUCUGUGUAACAAUAGACCUAAUAGCCGCUAAGCUGAUCCAAUGUUUGGACUCUUUCCAAGCUAAAGUCUUAAUCCUCCUGCACACAAGGCGCAUGUGAACAACAGACGGGCCAUGUCAACCCAAACAAAAAAGAGCUAAUUUCGUAUUUUUAAAGAGGUAUUCCUAUAAUGUCGCGCAAACAACCACCAUGACGAAAGCAUAGAAAACUUAGGCCCAUUUUUGAAUGUCUUUGGAUACAUUUUGGCCGUAAGUUUGUAAACCUUUUCUAAAUCUUCAUAAUCCAUGGAUGAUUAGGGAAAAGCACGAAAUAAGCUUUAAUUACUUUUAACAAACAUAUGUUGACCAUGGAGUCUUAGACGUUUGGAUUAGCUGGCACUAGCUAUCAGUCACUUUCCGACCAAACAAAAACCUUUGUAAACAGUUUUUCUGCUUUCUAAAGAAACUGGUAAUACUGCUUUGGGCUUUGUUUAGAGUAGAAAUAAAAAAAUCAACUUUGGAAACGAACUUUGCUGUAAAAUAUUCAAAACUAAACGGUAAUAAUUUCCGAAUAAUUUUAAAGGAUUGUAGCUUAGACCAUGAUAAGGUGAUAGAUAAAUUGGGCUGGAAGAGUCUUCGAAAUAGAUGUUCAAUUCAUAA